UUUUCCAGGCAAAUCCGGAAAAUCAAGGCUGAGGCGUGAUGACGAGGCACUACGGUGCUGAAGCAACAAAUGCCCUGCUUCCAGGAAAAGCCUCUAAGCAUCAGGUAACAUCAAAUCGUACCCCAAACCGACACAGGUGGUCAGGUAGAGAAUACCAAGGCGCUUGAGAGAACUCGGGUGAAGGAACUAGGCAAAAUGGUGCCGUAACU
rnacentral:rRNA from 1 species